rnacentral:rRNA from 1 species
UAUUUGACGUUACCUACAGAAGAAGCACCGGCUAACUCCGUGCCAGCAGCCGCGGUAAUACGGAGGGUGCGAGCGUUAAUCGGAAUUACUGGGCGUAAAGCGCAUGCAGGCGGCCUGUUAAGUCAGAUGUGAAAGACCCGGGGCGUUAACCUCGGAAUUGCAUUUGUAAACUGGCAGGCUAGAGUCUUGUAGAGGGGGGUAGGAAGUUUCAGGUUACGGUUAGCGGUGAAAUGCGUAGAGAUCUGAAGGAAUACCAGUGGCGAAGGCGGCCCCCUGGACAAAGACUGACGCUCAGAUGCGAAAGCGUGGGGAGCAAACAGGAUUAGAUACCCUGGUAG